UAACGACUCUCGGCAACGGAUAUCUCGGCUCUCGCAUCGAUGAAGAACGUAGCGAAAUGCGAUACUUGGUGUGAAUUGCAGAAUCCCGUGAAUCAUCGAGUCUUUGAACGCAAGUUGCGCCCGAAGCCUUUUGGCCGAGGGCACGUCUGCCUGGGUGUCACGC
rnacentral:rRNA from 2 species